AGUCAACAUGCCCAGGGGACGUGGAUAACCUCGGGAAACUGAGGAUAAACCGCGAUAGGCCAAGGCUUCUGGAAUGGGCCAUGGCUGAAAUCUAUACGGCCCCUGGAUUGGACUGCGGCCGAUCAGGCUGUUGGUGAGGUAAUGGCCCACCAAACCUGUAACCGGUACGGGCUUUGAGAGAAGGAGCCCGGAGAUGGGCACUGAGACAAGGGCCCAGGCCCUAUGGGGCGCAGCAGGCGCGAAACCUCUGCAAUAGGCGAAAGCUUGACAGGGUUACUCUGAGCGAUGUCCGCUAAGGGCAUCUUUUGGCACCUCUAAAAAUGGUGCAGAAUAAGGGGUGGGCAAGUCUGGUGUCAGCCGCCGCGGUAAUACCAGCACCCCGAGUGGUCGGGACGAUUAUUGGGCCUAAAGCAUCCGUAGCUUGUUCUGCAAGUCCUCCGUUAAAUCCACCUGCUCAACAGAUGGGCUGCGGAGGAUACUACAGGGCUAGGAGGCGGGAGAGGCAAACGGUACUCAGUGGGUAGGGGUAAAAUCCUCUGAUCCAUUGAAGACCACCAGUGGCGAAGGCGGUUUGCCAGAACGCGCUCGACGGUGAGGGAUGAAAGCUGGGGGAGCAAACCGGAUUAGAUACCCGGGUAGUCCCAGCUGUAAACGAUGCAGACUCGGUGAUGGGUUGGCUUCGAGCCAACCCAGUGCCGCAGGGAAGCCGUUAAGUCUGCCGCCUGGGGAGUACGGUCGCAAGACUGAAACU
rnacentral:rRNA from 1 species